GUUGUGUAGUGAUUAUAAAACAUUCCUCAUACUAAUGGGAUAUCCUCGUGAAUGACUCCUAUACACCCAUAGACUAUGAGCACCU
rfam:Triticum aestivum genome assembly, contig: Triticum_aestivum_CS42_TGACv1_scaffold_222396_3B